ACGGCUCAGUAACACGUGGAUAAUCUGCCCUUAGGUGGAGGAUAAUCUCGGGAAACUGAGGAUAAUACUCCAUAGAUUUAGGAUGCUGGAAUGCAUCUAAAUUGAAAGCUCCGGCGCCUAAGGAUGAGUCUGCGGACUAUCAGGUUGUAGUCAGGGUAAAGACCUGACUAGCCUACGACGGAUACGGGUUGUGAGAGCAAUAACCCGGAGACGAUAUCUGAGACACGAUAUCGGGCCCUACGGGGCGCAGCAGGCGCGAAAACUUCACACUGUGCGAAAGCGCGAUGAGGGAAUCCCAAGUGUUUGCUCGUUAGAGUAAACUGUUUCUUUGUUUAAAACGCAGAGAGAGUAAGGGCUGGGUAAGACGGGUGCCAGCCGCCGCGGUAAUACCUGCAGCUCAAGUGGUGAUCAUUAUUAUUGGGCCUAAAACGUCCGUAGCCGGUUUAGUAAAUGCCUGGGUAAAUUGUGUAGCUUAACUAUACGACUUCCGGGUAGACUGCUAAACUUGAGACCGGGAGAGGCUAGAGGUACUCCUGGGGUAGAGGUGAAAUUCUGUAAUCCUAGGGGGACCACCAGUGGCGAAGGCGUCUAGCUAGAACGGGUCUGACGGUGAGGGACGAAGCCCUGGGGCACAAACCGGAUUAGAUACCCGGGUAGUCCAGGGUGUAAACGCUGCUUGCUUGAUGUUAGUUGGGCUCCGAGCCCAACUAGUGUCGGAGAGAAGUUGUUAAGCAAGCUGCCUGGGAAGUACGGUCGCAAGGCUGAAACUUAAAGGAAUUGGCGGGGGAGCACAGCAACGGGUGGAGCGUGCGGUUUAAUUGGAUUCAACGCCGGAAAACUCACCGGAGGGCGACGGUUACAUGAAGGCCAGGCUGAUGACCUUGCCUGAUUUUCCGAGGAGGUGGUGCAUGGCCGCCGUCAGUUCGUACCGUAAGGCGUUCUUGUUAAGUCAGACAACGAACGAGACCCUCAUCUUUAAUUGCUACUAGUAAGUUCGCUUACUGGGCACAUUAAAGAAACCGCUGGCGAUAAGUCAGAGGAAGGCGAGGGCAACGGUAGGUCAGUAUGCCCUGAAUCCUCCGGGCUACACGCGCGCUACAAAGGUUAGGACAAUGAGCUUCAACACCGAGAGGUGAAGGUAAUCUCGAAACCUAAUCGUAGUUCGGAUUGAGGGUUGAAACUCACCCUCAUGAAGCUGGAAUCCGUAGUAAUCGCGGAUCAACAUCCCGCGGUGAAUAUGCCCCUGCUCCUUGCACACACCGCCCGUCAAACCAUGCGAGUUGGGUUUGAGUGAGGAUGUAGUUUUUGCUACGUUCAAACUUAGGCUUAGUAAGCGGGGUUAAGUCGUAACAAGGUAGCCG
rnacentral:rRNA from 1 species